UGGGGAAUAUUGGACAAUGGGGGCAACCCUGAUCCAGCGAUGCCGCGUGUGUGAAGAAGGCCUGAGGGUUGUAAAGCACUUUAGUUGUUGAGGAAGGUUGUGUGGUGAAUACCCGCAUGACUUGACGGUAAACAAAGAAUAAGCACCGGCUAACUCUGUGCCAGCAGCCGCGGUAAUACGAAGGGGGCUAGCGUUGUUCGGAAUUACUGGGCGUAAAGCGCACGUAGGCGGAUUGUUAAGUCAGAGGUGAAAUCCCGGAGCUCAACUUCGGAACUGCCUUUGAUACUGGCAAUCUAGAGUCCGGAAGAGGUUAGUGGAAUUCCCAGUGUAGAGGUGAAAUUCGUAGAUAUUGGGAAGAACACCGGUGGCGAAGGCGGCUCACUGGAUCGGUACUGACGCUGAGGUGCGAAAGCGUGGGGAGCAAACAGGAUUAGAUACCCCAGUAGUCCCUGAGCGGGCUGGCAAGGCGCAU
rnacentral:rRNA from 1 species